AACUAGGAUGUUGGCUUAGAAGCAGCCAUCAUUUAAAGAGUGCGUAAUAGCUCACUAGUCGAGUGACACUGCGCCGAAAAUGUACCGGGGCUAAACAUAUUACCGAAGUUGUGGAUUGUCCUUUGGACAAUGGUAGGAGAGCGUUCUAAGGGCGUUGAAGCAUGAUCGUAAGGACAUGUGGAGCGCUUAGAAGUGAGAAUGCCGGUGUGAGUAGCGAAAGACGGGUGAGAAUCCCGUCCACCGAUUGACUAAGGUUUCCAGAGGAAGGCUCGUCCGCUCUGGGUUAGUCGGGUCCUAAGCUGAGGCCGACAGGCGUAGGCGAUGGAUAACAGGUUGAUAUUCCUGUACCACCUAUAAUCGUUUUAAUCGAUGGGGGGACGCAGUAGGAUAGGCGAAGCGUGCGAUUGGAUUGCACGUCUAAGCAGUAAGGCUGAGUAUUAGGCAAAUCCGGUACUCGUUGAGGCUGAGCUGUGAUGGGGAGAAGACAUUGUGUCUUCGAGUCGUUGAUUUCACACUGCCGAGAAAAGCCUCUAGAUAGAAAAUAGGUGCCCGUACCGCAAACCGACACAGGUAGUCAAGAUGAGAAUUCUAAGGUGAGCGAGCGAACUCUCGUUAAGGAACUCGGCAAAAUGACCCCGUAACUUCGGGAGAAGGGGUGCUCUUUAGGGUUAACGCCCAGAAGAGCCGCAGUGAAUAGGCCCAAGCGACUGUUUAUCAAAAACACAGGUCUCUGCUAAACCGUAAGGUGAUGUAUAGGGGCUGACGCCUGCCCGGUGCUGGAAGGUUAAGAGGAGUGGUUAGCUUCUGCGAAGCUACGAAUCGAAGCCCCAGUAAACGGCGGCCGUAACUAUAACGGUCCUAAGGUAGCGAAAUUCCUUGUCGGGUAAGUUCCGACCCGCACGAAAGGCGUAACGAUUUGGGCACUGUCUCAACGAGAGACUCGGUGAAAUCAUAGUACCUGUGAAGAUGCAGGUUACCCGCGACAGGACGGAAAGACCCCGUGGAGCUUUACUGUAGCCUGAUAUUGAAAUUCGGCACAGCUUGUACAGGAUAGGUAGGAGCCUUUGAAACGUGAGCGCUAGCUUACGUGGAGGCGCUGGUGGGAUACUACCCUAGCUGUGUUGGCUUUCUAACCCGCACCACUUAUCGUGGUGGGAGACAGUGUCAGGCGGGCAGUUUGACUGGGGCGGUCGCCUCCUAAAAGGUAACGGAGGCGCUCAAAGGUUCCCUCAGAAUGGUUGGAAAUCAUUCAUAGAGUGUAAAGGCAUAAGGGAGCUUGACUGCGAGACCUACAAGUCGAGCAGGGUCGAAAGACGGACUUAGUGAUCCGGUGGUUCCGCAUGGAAGGGCCAUCGCUCAACGGAUAAAAGCUACCCCGGGGAUAACAGGCUUAUCUCCCCCAAGAGUUCACAUCGACGGGGAGGUUUGGCACCUCGAUGUCGGCUCAUCGCAUCCUGGGGCUGUAGUCGGUCCCAAGGGUUGGGCUGUUCGCCCAUUAAAGCGGUACGCGAGCUGGGUUCAGAACGUCGUGAGACAGUUCGGUCCCUAUCCGUCGUGGGCGUAGGAAAUUUGAGAGGAGCUGUCCUUAGUACGAGAGGACCGGGAUGGACAUACCUCUGGUGUACCAGUUGUCGUGCCAACGGCAUAGCUGGGUAGCUAUGUGUGGACGGGAUAAGUGCUGAAAGCAUCUAAGCAUGAAGCCCCCCUCAAGAUGAGAUUUCCCAACUUCGGUUAUAAGAUCCCUCAAAGAUGAUGAGGUUAAUAGGUUCGAGGUGGAAGCAUGGUGACAUGUGGAGCUGACGAAUACUAAUCGAUCGAAGACUUAAUCAA
rnacentral:rRNA from 1 species